GAAGGUAAAUCUGGGGAAUAAUUGUGAUUGUCCUUCUACCCUUUGCGUUCGUCCCAGUCCCAGUAAGACAAUACAUCACCACACUAGUUCAGGAACAAGGAUUCCUUGGUGAUUUUGUUUUUAUUUUGUUCGUGCAGUAUAUGAAUUGCAGGCAGUUCAACAUUUGUCUUCAGCACUAAGAAUACCAGACCAUUGUACUAUUUUUUUUUUUCAAUUUGAAUACCUACUCAGAAGUUGCAUUUUUUAGAUUCUGUCUUCCUAGAUGAUUGCUCUGUACUAGAAUGGACGUGUAAGCUUCUGAACGGAGGCAUGAAGGUAAGUAACUGGAUAAUUUCACAACUGAAGAGUGCCUUCCCUUCCUGACGUACAUUGGAUCACAAUAGCAAUUAAAAUGCUAUAACCUGCGUAGGCCAUUUAUCUGGCAGGUCUGCAAGGUGUAGGAAGUAAAAUGAUUGUGCAUGAUGAGAUUGCUCAACUGAUGGGUGGAUAAAUAUCAGACCUGUUCUAGAAGAGCAGGAACGCUAUCUGAACUACACUGGAUUAGCUAGAAAAAGCAAGUAUCAGAUGUUGUCUUUGCUAACACAGACGCAAAGGUUAUCCUACAAGGUGUAGAGAAGACUACUGAUUGCGCAAUACUCGGGCCUUAUAUGGAGAAACUGGUGCUUUUCAUAGCCUUUAUUUUACAAGAGUUACGGUACAGGGAAGAAUUGUAUGCUUAUCCUUGCAGAUGUGUACUGGGUUGCUAUUAUUCAACUCACCGUAUUGGGUGAACAUAUACUGUUUAUUAAUAUAUCAAGAGUUGAAGCUAUCAAGUUACAUUUCUUUAUUAUGGUAUUGCUACAGUUUGUGCUUGGCUAAAAAAAGGCAUUGACAGGUGGGUGUGCCUGUUUACCGACAAGGAACAGUGGCCAACCUGCACAAAUAACCAACAAUACAGUGGAAGAGGAAAAUAAAUAAUAUUGAUGUGAUUGUAGUGGAUACUGCUCGAAGAUUGCAGGUCAGCCUUGUCUUUGUUUCCUUCCAAAUGACAUCCUAAAAUUGGAAAAGGGAAACCAUUUUACACUUGUUCUCAUUGUUUUCUUUGCUUAUUCUUGAGCUCCAGUACUUCUAAUGUGUUGCUCUCACUUCAGUACCACUAAUGUGUUGUUUAGGUUGUGGUAGUUUUUGACAUGGAGAUCUGGGUUGUGGCAGCUACUAUCAUGGAAAUUAUGCCUUAUUUAAGUGAAAUGAACUUGUUUUUACUUCAUUGCCAGUUUUUUCAAAAUGCAUGAUUUGGCCUUAGUGCUUUGAAAUAAUGUUUAAUGAAACAAAAUUGCCUUCUCGGAGGAUUCUAUUGAUCAUCUGAAGUAUUUCCAAUAGAAAGAAUAUCAGAAAACUCAGGUUUUUUUUAGUCAUGAAAAUGAAAAACACACAUGCUCUCACGACUUUUGUAUCAUUCUUCAUACGUGUGAACCUUACUGCGGUUUUGCUUCAUAAUGAUUACUGAGUGUAUGUUUACUGUAACAUGCUUCUGAAUGUAAGAAAUUUGUGCUCUUAUUUAUGGUCAGGCUAAUGGAAGAAAAAAAAACUACCAGGAAAGGUGCAAUUGGUCACUUUAUGUAGCCAUCACAUGUCAAUAUUGCUAGAAACAAAAACUAAUGGAUGAUUUGCGCAGACAAAUGUUAGUAUAAGCUGUUGUGGGUGGUGUUGCUGUUGGAAACAGAUUUUUUUUAGAGCACACAUGUUGUAGAGGGUGUCACUAGAGAUGCCAAGAGAAACCAAGAAAUGCUUGUGGCCUGUCAAAAUGACUUUCUCUGACCAAAGAAUUUCAUUUUAAUACAAUGUUCGGAUUUCUCUACAUAUAUGUGUUACCUUUAUAUAUGUGGAUUCAAGGGCCGUAUUUAGUUUACCAUGAAAAUUCAUAUGUGUGUGGCGGCUAUGGCAAUGAUGUGUGAAGAGACCAUACACUGUCUAUGCCUCACCAUGAGCUUUGCAAAUGAUGAUUGCCUUAUUGCUGCCUUUGUUGCCACAAUGAGAUGAAAUGAUUCAAUGAUUGUAUUGAAGUGCUUAUGUUUCUUUUCCUAUAUAUAGAGAAACUCUGGAAUAAUGGUGUAUUGACACACUGCUAACAUAUUGAUUCAUUUGUAUUUGCAUGUAGUUUAGGUGAUGGAGUAGCUUGCCGUGUAGCUGUACGUGAGAUGUGUACAAGCAUGGUUCAGCAGGGGAUGUGCAGGGCCAGAUGCCGGCGUAGUCGUGCGAUACGACUUAGCUGAUGAGAUGCCGACCGUGUGAGAUGCAUGGUGCUGCAUACAAGUCCCAAGCUGUGCUUGUGUGUGCAUGGUAGGCCAGAUCGUGUUGUUCCUAGAUGGAAUCUAGGAAGAGAUCAAGUCAACU